rnacentral:lncRNA from 1 species
AUGUGGGUGAAAAUGUCCCUCCGGGCUCGGAUCUCCCCGGUGCCCUCCCCCGGGACCAGCUACUUAGGGAAGCGUGAGGUUUCGUGGUUCCUACCGUGCCCAGGCCGGUCCCACCGCCCUGCAGUCCGCUUCUGCACCCAAGGGCACCGCGAGCAGGGCAUUCCCUCGGGGCUGCGGCCCUUUGAACCCGGGGAGCCCUCAGCUCCCUCCCGGACGCGCGGAGCUCGCUCGGGCCGGGCUGCCGAGGCGAGUGUGGGUCGCGGUGGGGUGGAAGCGGAUGGGGGAGGCGGGAGGGGUGGAGGGCGGGGGCGGGAGUCGGGCGUUAAGCCUGGAAGCUUGGCUGUUUACCCAAAUGAUUUUCCUUUCAGGCCGGAGACGCCAAUGAGACAAGAUCAAACUCCCCUCCUGACAGUGCGUGUGGUCUAUUAGCUGCACGUUAGGCCAAGGUUUUGGCGAUAACCCUACAACGCAGGCCGAGGGACAUGCACCUCCGGACCUGCGCCGAGGUGCUUCUUCGCUCAUCUCAAAGCGGUUAGAGAUCAAGAGGGGCGGAAGAGUCUGCAUGAACAAGACAUAAUUUAUCGUUUUUAAGCGGGCCCAGACCCAAGAAGGGCAGAUCCGAGGAGAGAGGGGAGAGAGGCCUGCUGAGCUCUGAGGGCGGCGCAGCAGGUGACCUUCGUCCUGGGCGUGGGUCCUGCAGCUGCUCCCGGGGCCUUCGAGUCUGAAAUGCCACUUACAAAAUAGCAACAACAGUGUUAUUAGUAUCAUUGAUAAUAAAAAGAAACGGAAGAUGAGUUACGUGCAUUCAUUAAGAUCAAACGGUAGUCGGAGUAUGGUUGCGUGGACGUCGCAGCGCCAGUCCCAGUUCCUGACUGCUGGAGGCUUACUCAGAGUUGUUUCCGGAAGCGCAAGGUGCGGGUCCAACGGUUCUGCCUCUCCAAGCAUUGGUUCUCUGGCCUCCAAAUACUCCGGAGUGGCCCCACCCUUCCCGCCCACGCACCAUUUCACUCCAGGGUUCCUUUCUUUUUCUUUCUUUUUUUUUUUUUGGUACCGGGGAUCGGGGAUCUAACUCGGGUCCUUGCGCUUUUGAGGCAGGUAGCAGAACCACUGAGCUAUAGCCCCGGCCGGGUUCCUUUCUUUAAAAAAUGAAAGAAAGAAAUGAAAACAUCAUUACCUCCCUUCCCAAGAUGUCCUUGUUUAACUAAAACUCCCUCCCCUGGCGCUUGCCAUGGGCAGGACACAUUAGGGACCUUCAGGCCCUUGCUUCAGUCCUCUGAGCCCAGUUCUGGAGGCCC